rnacentral:rRNA from 1 species
AUGCAAGUCGAACGAAGUAGCAAUACUUAGUGGCAGACGGGUGAGUAACAUGUAGGUAUCUGCCCUUUGGCCUGGAAUAACACGAGGAAACUUGUGCUAAUACCGGAUAAGUCUUUACGGAGAAAGCUUUAUGCACCAUUGGAUGAGCCUGCACUUGAUUAGUUUGUUGGUGGGGUAAUGGCCUACCAAGACUGUGAUCAAUAGCUGAUUUGAGAGGAUGAUCAGCCACAUUGGGACUGAGACACGGCCCAAACUCCUACGGGAGGCAGCAGUGGGGAAUCUUGCACAAUGGAGGAAACUCUGAUGCAGCGAUGCCGCGUGAGUGAAGAAGGCCUUUGGGUUGUAAAGCUCUUUCGUCGGGGAAGAAAAUGACUGUACCCGAAUAAGAAGGUCCGGCUAACUUCGUGCCAGCAGCCGCGGUAAUACGAAGGGACCUAGCGUAGUUCGGAAUUACUGGGCUUAAAGAGUUCGUAGGUGGUUGAAAAAGUUGGUGGUGAAAUCCCAGAGCUUAACUCUGGAACUGCCAUCAAAACUUUUCAGCUAGAGUAUGAUAGAGGAAAGCAGAAUUUCUAGUGUAGAGGUGAAAUUCGUAGAUAUUAGAAAGAAUACCAAUUGCGAAGGCAGCUUUCUGGAUCAUUACUGACACUGAGGAACGAAAGCAUGGGUAGCGAAGAGGAUUAGAUACCCUCGUAGUCCAUGCCGUAAACGAUGUGUGUUAGACGUUGGAAAUUUAUUUUCAGUGUCGCAGCGAAAGCGAUAAACACACCGCCUGGGGAGUACGACCGCAAGGUUAAAACUCAAAUGAAUUGACGGGGACCCGCACAAGUAGUGGAGCAUGUGGUUUAAUUCGAAGAUACGCGCAGAACCUUACCAACACUUGACAUGUUCGUCGCGACUCUAAGAGAUUAGAGUUUUCGGUUCGGCCGGACGAAACACAGGUGCUGC